rnacentral:rRNA from 1 species
GGAAUAUUGCACAAUGGGCGAAAGCCUGAUGCAGCAACGCCGCGUGAGGGAUGACGGCCUUCGGGUUGUAAACCUCUUUUAGUAGGGAAGAAGCGAAAGUGACGGUACCUGCAGAAAAAGCACCGGCUAACUACGUGCCAGCAGCCGCGGUAAUACGUAGGGUGCAAGCGUUGUCCGGAAUUAUUGGGCGUAAAGAGCUCGUAGGCGGUUUGUCGCGUCUGCUGUGAAAUCUGGGGGCUCAACCCCCAGCCUGCAGUGGGUACGGGCAGACUAGAGUGCGGUAGGGGAGAUUGGAAUUCCUGGUGUAGCGGUGGAAUGCGCAGAUAUCAGGAGGAACACCGAUGGCGAAGGCAGAUCUCUGGGCCGUAACUGACGCUGAGGAGCGAAAGCAUGGGGAGCGAACAGGAUUAGAUACCCUAG